AAUCAAGGGGAUCUAACUACAUUGUGAGAAUGACGCUGCUUGUAUUAUUCUACUACUCUGCUAGAAGGAAGCCUUCUAUUCCAAACAGCUGCAGCCAUCAAUGUACUGUUCCAAAAAAAAAAACAAAAACAAAAAAAGAGAGAAGGUCAAGGAG